rnacentral:tRNA from 1 species
GAUGAUAUGCCCAAGUGGUUAAGGCAAUGGACUACUAACCCACUGUGCUCUUCAUGUGUGGGUUCAAAUCCUAUCCU